UAAUACGUAGGGUGCGAGCGUUAAUCGGAAUUACUGGGCGUAAAGUGUGCGCAGGCGGCAGAGCAAGUCGAGUGUGAAAGCCCCGGGCUUAACUUGGGAAUUGCGCUCGAAACUACUUUGCUGGAGUGUGGCAGAGGAAGGUGGAAUUCCACGUGUAGCGGUGAAAUGCGUAGAGAUGUGGAGGAACACCAAUGGCGAAGGCAGCCUUCUGGGCCAACACUGACGCUCAUGCACGAAAGCGUGGGGAGCAAACAGGAUUAGAUACCCUGGUAGCCCACGCCCUAAACGAUGACGACUAGUUGUUGGAGGAGUUAAAUCCUUUAGUAACGCAGCUAACGCGCGAAGUCGUCCGCCUGGGGAGUACGGUCGCAAGAUU
rnacentral:rRNA from 1 species